GUGUGAGGACAUGAGUUUAAGGGCCCGUUCGGCCUGAUUUUCUGAAAAAGUGAUUUUUGUUUGGAAAAGUGAUUUUGGUUAAAAGCUGUAGAACGUUUGGCUGAGUUUAGAUAAAAGUGAUUUUUCUGAAAUGAUUUUGAAAAACUGCUUGGCGAAAUUUUUUUUAUGUUUACAUAAAUUAAUAUAUUUUAUUAAAUUUUAUUUUAAAAUAAUUUAAAAUCUAAAUUUCAAUUUCAAUUAAAAUUAAAAUUUUUAAAUUUCAAAAUUUUUUAAAAUUUAAAAUAUAAAAUUUAAAUUUAAAAAAUAAUUUAAAAUUUAAAAAAAAAAU
rnacentral:lncRNA from 1 species